AGUUAUAAUAAGACUAAUUAAAUAGUUACUCACGAAAUAAAUUGAGCUAAAUUUAUUAGAUCUGUUUUAGCAGAUAAUAUUAGUUGUUGCAACACCUAUAUAUUUUACUAUAAAAUUUAGGGGUGAAAGGCUUUUCAAAUUUUAGGAUAACUUGAGGUAUAAGAUAUAUAUUUAGUAUAUUGUUUCAAUUAUAAAAUGUUUAGGUUUUAUAGUAUUCACAUUAUUAUUUAUGUAAAGGUAUGUAAUUUUUUUAAUUGAAAUUACUUUAACCCUACUAAUAAUGAUAUAAAUUUCAGAUAUGGGCUAAUAUUAUACUAUAAUAUCUUUAUAUAUAUAUUAUAUAUAAUGUAAUUAUCAGUAAUUCAAAAAAAACUAAUUAAGGAACUCGGCAAAAAAAAUUUUCAACUGUUUACCAAAAACAUGCUUUUAGGGUUUAAUUAAAAGUCUUUUUCCUGCUCAAUGGUUUAAUUAAAUAGCCGCAGUACCUUGACUGUGCAAAGGUAGCAUAAUCAAUUGGCUUAUAAUUGAAGUCUAGUAUGAAUGGGUAUAUGGAAAUUAACUGUCUCCUAAAAUGUAAUUGAAAUUAAUAAAAAAGUGCAAAUGCUUUUAAAUAUAAAUUAGACGAGAAGACCCUAGAAAUUUUUUAAGAAUUAUUUUGCUGGGGCGGCAUGGUAACAAUAAAAACUUACCUAAAGCUAGAUAUGAACUAAUUAUUGUGAGUAAUUAAAUUACUCUAGGGAUAACAGCAUAAUGUAUUUAAAGUUUGUGACCUCGAUGUUGGACUAGGGAUUUAAAUGUCUAGAAGGUAUUUAAAAUGGCUCUGUUCGAGCUUUUAUCCCUACAUGAUCUGAGUUCAGACCGG
rnacentral:rRNA from 1 species